AAGUAGAGGCGGAGGGCUCAGAUGCUUCAAAACUCUGUCAGGAAAUGUAAUUCCCUGACAAUUGUAGGGAGCAGGAGCGAGGGAGAAGCAAGAAGGGAGGCAGAGAACGAACGGGAAUCAACUCAAGGAUACCCGCCACUGAGCUGUAGGUCGCAUGGAGGCAUCAGCAGCGGCGCCCUGAGCGGGGAAGUGAGAGGUGACCAGCAUGCACUUAGGCAAAACACUGUUGGAUGCUUCUGAAGUCAACUGGAGCCCAGGUUCCACGGCACUGGCGCAAGACACAGAUGAGGGCACUGUUCGAAAGAUGACAGAACAUCAAAGUAGAAGGCAACUGGGUCAAUGACUCCAUCACUGCCCCGCCGGCCUCAAUUGCUUAGGUUCAGAAGUUUCCAUGAAAGAGAACACUUUCUAUCUCGUUUGACUGGGGCCUUGCUCCAAAAGAUGACCUGAUAGCUCCACCCUUUCCUACCUUCCCCACCAAGAGAGUCAGCAGUACCAGUUCCAUCUUGCCAAACCGAGGUGGGGAUAAUGACCGGGGGAAGGAUUCUGGGAGAGGGACUAGCAGAUGCCAAUGCCUGGAGGGAUGUGUUGAGAGGGCACACGGAAGACCCUUGUUGUCUACAGUCAUGUGAACGAGGAGAAGGACAUGAGCCAGGGUCAGCUCAGGCCCCUUCCUUCUAGCUCUCAGCAGUCCACACGCAGAGUUAGAAAGGUGGACCUGGAAGUCAGAAAAAGAGGAAAUGGGAGGCUCGCCUUCAACCAAGGUCCUUCCCAAGAAGAGAAGAGCUUAAGAAAUCUCUGAAAAUCUAUUUCAAUUGCACCCAGUCCCUCAAGAUCUCAACGGCCUUUAGACAGGGUGUUACCUGUGUUUACACUCGGAUGUGUGUUAAUUACAGUGACAGUGACCAUGGGUACUGACAAUUGAAAGCUUUGCUAAACUUCGGUAUGAAAUGUAUUCUCAUUCAGCUUCUCCAAAAUAGGUACCUUCUAGCCCAGCCAGAAAGCAAAGCUUCCUCUUCUAAGACUACCUAUUUAAUGGAACCACUCAUCCUAAAAGAGGACCUAGAACCUAAAAAAGAAGAUUCUUGCCUUGAAACCCCCACCUUUUUGCCCCCAGCCCCUUCCCCAGAUGUGAAGGCCCCACCUCAGCCUUAACUGACCCAAAACAAAGGUUCUGAUCAGGUCUCCAGGAUGAAGGAGAUGGGCUCAUGUGACUCACUUUAUUGCUUUGGGGCCAAAACUUUAUCUUGGAAACGAAUAUAAAUUCCUUGAGACUAAUGUCAGCUAAUUGGAAAGUAGACUCUAGACUCUUCUUUCUCUGCAGCAUAGCUCCCAUAACCUCCCAGAAAUUACUGCUCAUGGGUCUGUGGUCGGUUACUCAUUUAUUGCCUGGGUGGUCAGUGGUCAUGCCAUGAUGGACAGGAUGGCCAUGGUCCCUUCCUUCAAGAAGCUAAGUCUAGUGGAGAACAGAUACUGAGCAAGUAAUUUCUGGAGCAGGUGCCACGCAGGAGAAAUUCAGCUUCCUUUGGGAAACAGCCACCGACAAUGUCCAGUCCUAAGGCUUGGAGAAACUCCACUCUCCUUGAGCGUCUCAUCCAUCUUUGUAACCUUUUAAGAUUGUUUCGCUUUGUGAUGCACUGAAGACACCUAGGACCAACUGGUUCUGCUUUUUGUCACCUGCUUGCGGCACCCACUCUCCCGAAGCGUGGCCCUGCCCCAUCUUUCUCUAAAUACGCUCUUGAACAGUGUAACAGAACGUGAUGUGGGCUGGUGGAAAGACCCAGCAUUUGGCCUGAAAUGAUCUGGGCUCAGAUCCCAGCUUUGCCUCCGAGAGGUCCUCGUACACUCUGAGGAUAAUGACGCCUCCCGCCCCACCCCCGAGAAUCAUUGUGAGGAUCCACGUGAUCAUUUACAUGAAAAUGCUUUGCAAACCCUGGCGCAUUAUUCUCCUGUCAGCUGCUCUGUCACAAGUCUUAGCAUAUUCUGGACUUCAGCUUCUCCUGACACUAAUAUACAGAUUCCCGCUAUUCUUUUGUGACACCCUUCAUUACGGGCCCCUCCUUCCAUCUUUUGUUUGUGUUCAUUGAAAAUCAGAGUUUCUAACAGCCGUCCCUCACUGCCCCGUCGUCGGCUCUUUUAGCUGCCUCUUCCUUUUCUUCCUUGUGAUGUUUCUUCCCGGUGCAGAUAGCAGGGCAUUUCAAGCGUCCUAACCUUCCUGGGUCCUUUCAGAGUCAUCCUCCAGUCCAGAUCACAGACAUCCCUGUAUCCCGUUGAAUAACUUGGGAAAUCAGAAAACGCCUUUUCAUCCAGAUCAGAAUGGUCUAUUCUCAGCCUGGUCGCAAGUCAGGAUUGGGGUACCCCAGCUUUAACAUAAAAUCUCUCCCAUGGGGUGGUGGCCCUAGAGGAACUGUUAGCGCACCAUUGACAAAAACUGCCCACCUUGGUCAGGCAGAUAAAAGCCACUUGCAUUAAGCUGUCUCACAACUGGAUGCCCUGAUAAGGAUCCUCAGUGCUGCCCUGAAGAUUAACUGGGAAGAUUUGGGAGGGGCCCGUGGGAGGGAAGAAACAACCAACGUCCCAGGAUCCUUGGCACUAGAAUCUGUCUUGGCUGAGAGAGGCACAAGCCACCAAGAAAGACCCUAGGCCAGACCUAGUACGGGCCGAGCAAGGUGAUUAGCCAGAGACAACCCAGAAACUCACCCCAUUCCCAUAAAA